ensembl:snRNA RNU6-21P RNA, U6 small nuclear 21, pseudogene
GUGCUCACUUCGGCAGCACAUAUACUAAAAUAGGAACGAUACAGAGAAGAUUAGCAUGGCCCCUGCACAAGGAUGACACACAAAUUCGUGAAGUGUUCCAUAUUUUU